AACGAACGCUGGCGGCAGGCCUAACACAUGCAAGUCGAGCGCCCCGCAAGGGGAGCGGCGGACGGGUGAGUAACGCGUGGGAACGUACCUUUUGCUACGGAAUAGCCUCGGGAAACUGGGAGUAAUACCGUAUGUGCCCUUUGGGGGAAAGAUUUAUCGGCAAAAGAUCGGCCCGCGUUGGAUUAGGUAGUUGGUGGGGUAAUGGCCUACCAAGCCGACGAUCCAUAGCUGGUUUGAGAGGAUGAUCAGCCACACUGGGACUGAGACACGGCCCAGACUCCUACGGGAGGCAGCAGUGGGGAAUCUUAGACAAUGGGCGCAAGCCUGAUCUAGCCAUGCCGCGUGAGCGAUGAAGGCCUUAGGGUUGUAAAGCUCUUUCAGUGGGGAAGAUAAUGACUGUACCCACAGAAGAAGCCCCGGCUAACUCCGUG
rnacentral:rRNA from 1 species